rnacentral:rRNA from 1 species
UACGUAGGUGGCAAGCGUUGUCCGGAUUUACUGGGCGUAAAGAGCGCGCAGGCGGUCGUUCAAGUCGCGUGUGAAAGCCCCCGGCUCAACUGGGGAGGGUCACGCGAUACUGAUCGACUGGAAGGCAGGAGAGGGUAGUGGAAUUCCCGGUGUAGUGGUGAAAUGCGUAGAUAUCGGGAGGAACACCAGUGGCGAAGGCGGCAUCCUGGACCGGUAUUGACGCUGAGGCGCGAAAGCCAGGGGAGCAAACGGG